AGUGAACGCUGGCGGUAGGCCUAACACAUGCAAGUCGAACGGCAGCACAGUAAGAGCUUGCUCUUACGGGUGGCGAGUGGCGGACGGGUGAGGAAUACAUCGGAAUCUACUUUUUCGUGGGGGAUAACGUAGGGAAACUUACGCUAAUACCUCAUACGACCUACGGGUGAAAGCAGGGGAUCUUCGGACCUUGCGCGAUUGAAUGAGCCGAUGUCGGAUUAGCUAGUUGGCGGGGUAAAGGCCCACCAAGGCGACGAUCCGUAGCUGGUCUGAGAGGAUGAUCAGCCACACUGGAACUGAGACACGGUCCAGGCUCCUACGGGAGGCAGCAGUGGGGAAUAUUGGACAAUGGGCGCAAGCCUGAUCCAGCCAUACCGCGUGGGUGAAGAAGGCCUUCGGGUUGUAAAGCCCUUUUGUUGGGAAAGAAAAGCAGCAGGUUAAUACCCCGCUGUUCUGACGGUACCCAAAGAAUAAGCACCGGCUAACUUCGUG
rnacentral:rRNA from 1 species